GAUGAACGCUAGCGGCAGGCCUAACACAUGCAAGUCGAGGGGCAGCAUAAACAAGCUUGCUUGUUUGGUGGCGACCGGCGCACGGGUGCGUAACGCGUAUGCAACCUACCCUGUACUGGGGGAUAGCCCGGAGAAAUUCGGAUUAAGACCCCAUAGCACUUUUGAAUGGCAUCAUUUAAAAGUUAAAGGUUACGGUACAGGAUGGGCAUGCGUCCCAUUAGCUAGAUGGUAAGGUAACGGCUUACCAUGGCAACGACGGGUAGCCGGCCUGAGAGGGUGGACGGCCACACUGGGACUGAGACACGGCCCAGACUCCUACGGGAGGCAGCAGUGGGGAAUAUUGGGCAAUGGAGGAAACUCUGACCCAGCGACGCCGCGUGCGGGAUGAAGGCCUUCGGGUUGUAAACCGCUUUCAGCAGGGAAGAAGCGAAAGUGACGGUACCUGCAGAAGAAGCACCGGCUAACUAUGUG
rnacentral:rRNA from 1 species